UCCGUUCACAUUUCAAAGCGCUCUCUCCGCAUUCAUCGCCCAUUAUUUAUUUAUUUAAUUAAUUAUUAAUAGCCUCUCUACCUUAACAGAAAAACCAAAAUAAGACGCACCAGAAAUCAACUAACACUUCACCUCAUAACCCAAAGAAGCACACAGCAUCACACGCUCGACUGAAAACGCAAACCCACAGACUGAACAAAGCGGAGGACAAAAUGUCGUGGCAAACUUACGUAGACGAACACUUGAUGUGCGACAUCGACGGCCAAGGCCAGCAUCUCACCGCUGCUGCUAUUGUUGGCCAUGACGGUAGCGUCUGGGCUCAGAGCUCCUCUUUCCCUCAGUUCAAGCCCCAGGAGAUUACUGACAUCAUGAAAGACUUUGAGGAGCCGGGUCACCUUGCCCCUACAGGUCUACACCUUGGGGGCACAAAGUACAUGGUUAUCCAGGGAGAGGCUGGAGCUGUUAUCCGUGGAAAGAAGGUGAUGGGCAUCAUAUGUGCUCAAUCUUAUCAUUAGUGGACUUGAUUCAUUAAAGUUCAUAAAAUGCUUUUGUCUAACUUUUGGUUAUUUCCUGGGUUUAUCAGGAAUCAAUUUUCUCCAAAGCCUUUUAAUUCUUGCCUUACUUCGUUUUAUCAUAUGGAGGCAUCAUUUUGAUUCCCACUUUUUUACUCGAAUAAGAAAUAAGGGCAUGCUCUAUGUUGUGCAAGUGAUUGUGUCUGUUCCAGGUAAUUAAUCGGAAGCUUGCCUGUUAUCUUUUGGCAGGGAUCAGGAGGGAUCACCAUAAAGAAGACUGGUCAAGCUCUUGUUUUUGGCAUCUAUGAGGAACCUGUGACUCCAGGGCAGUGCAACAUGGUUGUGGAGAGGUUGGGGGACUACCUCGUUGAUCAGGGGCUGUAGGCCUAGUCUAUCACAAUUUAUUACAUUUAUUUUGUGGGGUUACAAGCACUGUUUUUGUUUCUUUUUCUUUUGUUUUUUGAUCUCUGGUUCCAAGUUUGCAUCCUCUUCUAUGGAAAGCCUUGAAUCGGCAGUGAAGAUGUUGCAGACAAUAACCAUGCGAGAACUAAAUUGGUUGUUUGAUGUUGCCUGUUUUGAGUUGCAUUACUUUGAUAAAAAUUGAUUUAAUGUGUAAUCUGCAAUUAAAUCAAUUUUUAUCCACAUCACAUCUUUCUCCUGUAACAAGUACUGUUAAUCUUUUUGAACAUUUCUUAAUCAUUUGGUGGUGGAAUAAUUGUCAAGUUACAGGAAAGAAAAGUUUCACUAAAACAUCUCAAAUAGAGUACCUAACCUACCAUUUGUAUUGCUGCUUUAUUGGUAGGGAAUUGAAUAGCGAGUGGUCGAUUGUGCUUUUGAGUGGAUUAAGAUGUGUAAAUUAAACAUGCUUUGCCAUCACUUGCAUUUUGAUAUAGA
rnacentral:misc_RNA from 1 species